rnacentral:rRNA from 1 species
CACGUAGGCGGCUUCGUAAGUUAGAGGUGAAAGCCUGGAGCUCAACUCCAGAAUUGCCUUUAAGACUGCAUCGCUUGAACCCAGGAGAGGUGAGUGGAAUUCCGAGUGUAGAGGUGAAAUUCGUAGAUAUUCGGAAGAACACCAGUGGCGAAGGCGGCUCACUGGACUGGUAUUGACGCUGAGGUGCGAAAGCGUGGGGAGCAAACAGGAUUAGAUGCCCUGGUAGUCCACGCCGUAAACGAUGAUAACUAGCUGUCGGGGCUCUUAGAGUUUCGGUGGCGCAGCUAACGCAUUAAGUUAUCCGCCUGGGGAGUACGGCCGCAAGGUUAAA